rnacentral:rRNA from 1 species
UACAGAGGGUGCGAGCGUUGUCCGGAAUCACUGGGCGUAAAGGGCGCGUAGGCGGCCCGGUAAGGUUGCGGUGAAAGCCCGGGGCUCAACCUCGGAUCGGCCGUGGCGACUCGUGGGCUGGAGCACUGUAGAGGCGGGUGGAAUUCCGGGUGUAGCGGUGGAAUGCGUAGAGAUCCGGAAGAACACCAGUGGCGAAGGCGGCCCGCUGGGCAGUGGCUGACGCUGAGGCGCGACAGCGUGGGGAGCAAACGAG